rfam:Roseburia sp. 499 contig000014, whole genome shotgun sequence.
AAGAGCCGUAUGAAGGGAGACUUUCACGUACGGUUCCGUGAGAAGUUUGAGGUGAGAGUCCUCUUACUUACUCGAC